rnacentral:rRNA from 1 species
AUUGAACGCUGGCGGCAUGCUUUACACAUGCAAGUCGAACGGUAACAGGGGGCUUGCUCCGCUGACGAGUGGCGAACGGGUGAGUAAUGCAUCGGAACAUGCCCAGUCAUGGGGGAUAACUACGCGAAAGCGUAGCUAAUACCGCAUACGCCCUGAGGGGGAAAGUGGGGGAUCUUAGGACCUCACGUGAUUGGAGUGGCCGAUGUCAGAUUAGCUAGUUGGUGAGGUAAAGGCUCACCAAGGCGACGAUCUGUAGCGGGUCUGAGAGGAUGAUCCGCCACACUGGGACUGAGACACGGCCCAGACUCCUACGGGAGGCAGCAGUGGGGAAUUUUGGACAAUGGGCGCAAGCCUGAUCCAGCCAUGCCGCGUGAGUGAAGAAGGCCU